AAAAAUAAUCUUAAUCAAUUAACUUAAAAAUAGUCUGGUCAGGAUGUUGAUAGAAAAGAUAUUUUAGGCGCAUUUGUCUAUUAUUAAAACGUGAUAUAACAUGUUUUAUGUAGUCUACAAAUCGAUAAUUAUCGAACAUUAACUUCAAUCAUCUUUAGCUAACGACGCA